rnacentral:tRNA from 1 species
GGGAAUGUGACUCAGGGAUAGGGUGUCUGCCUGACAUGCACAAGGCCUUGGUUCCAUUCCCA